GACGAACGCUGGCGGCGUGCUUAACACAUGCUCGUAGAACGGAAAGGCCCUGCUUUUGUGGGGCGGUCGAGUGGCGAACGGAUGAGUAACACGCGAGUAACCUGCCCUUGACUAUCUGAUAACUUCACGAAACUGGGGCUAAUAUCAGGUAGGAGCUCCUGCUGCAUGUGGGGGGUUGGCAGGUGUCGGCGGUUGGGUAUGGACUCGCGGUUUCUUAGCAUGUUUGGGGGGUAGUGGCUUACCAAGGCUUUGACGGGUGGCCGGCCUGAGUGGGUUGCCGGCCACAUUGGGGCUAGGAUACGGCCCAGCAUCCUACUGGAGGCAGCGGUGGGGAAUAUUACACAAUGGGCGGAAGCCUGAUGCAGCAACGCCGCGAGCGGGAUGCCGGCCUUCGGGUUAUAAACCGCUUUCGCCUGUGACGAAGCGUGAGUGACGGUAAUGGGUAAAGAAGCAACGGCUAACUACGUG
rnacentral:rRNA from 1 species